CUCGAAAGGGGAAAGCCCUAGAGGCGUUCCCGCCGCAACAUAUAUAGUUUGACGCCCUCAUAGCGGCCCAUUUACGGGUGGCGCAGUUCAAUCCUUGGAGAUACGUAGACGGCCGCAGAUCAGGGAGUAGAAGGAGAAAGGAAGUGGAAAUCAACCAAGCGAGUUCUUUAUAGUUGAUUCCAUGCUCCUUUGCAGAAUCCUCGAUUUCUUGACAUUGAUACAGAGUUCCUUCAAAAUGGAGAAUAAACUACGAUUGACACAACAGAAGAGUUCAUGCUGGGCAUCCAAGAUUUCACCAGGAACGUGUAGAUCCUUCCCUAAAUCCUGAAAGUCUAGCAAUGCCUGAGUUUUGCUGUAUGCCUUUUUUUAAUACAGUGUCGUAAACACCUACUGGUUCAAAUCAAAUUGGCAUCAGUUCAACUUGGUUUCGGUUAUUAUUAUAUUUUUUGUGGGGGCCCUUGGCUUCUGGUUGCUCAAAUAAUCAUGUCCACAGUGAUGUGAUUGCUAAUUUCGUGCCUUGUCUCAGGAAUCAUAAUGUGGUUAUUAAGUCCCGAAUGAUUUAGGAGAAAUGCUGGCUUCCACUGUUCGUGGAUGGGUAUGCCUAGCCUCUGGAAUGGAGAUGAAGAUAUAAUGAAGACCAAAAGCACUGAUGCAGUUUAUUCUCCUCAUUCUCCUUGAAGGGUCUUGAAGUACAGACAAUAUGAACUUAAGCUUCAAAGGAUAAAAGAUCCGAGCAACGUGGGAAGCUCGCCGGCUGCCUCUUUGGAGCCAAGGGUAAACUAGUCAUCCAUGUAACUACUCAAUUCGCCUGAACGGGACAUAGUUAUGAAAACUGUUUUUAGGGGGCAGAUGCUGCUCGUCGCAUGCCAGCCUCAAGGGAGAGGAUGUCUUCCUGCUAAGAUCGAUACGUAAUCACUGGGGUGUAGCCGUUGUGUCGAAUGGUACCUGCUCAGCUUGUAAGCAAUGUCACCAGGGAGCAGCAGAAUUGAACCCGCGUCCAUGCGAUGCGGGUGCAUAUUCGGGUAUUCCCACCCAAACCAUACCUGAGGAGGUGUGUACGUGGUACGUUUGGAUCUGGUUUCGGGUUGAAACCAGAUCCAAACUAAGUUUGGAUAUGGUUUUGGGUAUGAGGUGUGCACAUGGUACGUUUGGAUCUGGUUUCGGGUCGAAACUAGAUCCAAACUAAGUUUGGAUCUGGUUUCGGGUUGAAAUCAGAUCUAAAUCAAGUUUGGAUCUAGUUUCGGGUCUAAAUCAGAUUCAAACCAAGUUCAUCUCAAAAAAAUGUCUCAAAAGUUAGUUCUUCUCACCCGUGGAGGGUCGAGGUCUGCCACGGUCGAUUUACAUGAAUGGGGAGCGGAAACAUUAUUAUA